rnacentral:rRNA from 1 species
CCGCGAUUCGCCCUUCGGGGUGCAGCAGGCGCGAAAACUUUACAAUGCGGGAAACCGUGAUAAGGGGACACCGAGUGCCAGCAUCAUAUGCUGGCUGUCCGGGUGUGUAAAAUACACCCGUUAGCAAGGGCCGGGCAAGACCGGUGCCAGCCGCCGCGGUAACACCGGCGGCCCGAGUGGUGAUCGUGAUUAUUGGGUCUAAAGGGUCCGUAGCCGGUUUGGUCAGUCCUCCGGGAAAUCUGACGGCUCAACCGUUAGGCUUUCGGGGGAUACUGCCAGGCUUGGAACCGGGAGAGGUAAGAGGUACUACAGGGGUAGGAGUGAAAUCUUGUAAUCCCUGUGAGACCACCUGUGGCGAAGGCGUCUUACCAGAACGGGUUCGACGGUGAGGGACGAAAGCUGGGGGCACGAACCGGAUUAGAUACCCGGGUAGUCCCAGCCGUAAACGAUGCUCGCUAGGUGUCAGGCAUGGCGCGACCGUGUCUGGUGCCGCAGGGAAGCCGUGAAGCGAGCCACCUGGGAAGUACGGCCGCAAGGCUGAAACUUAAAGGAAUUGGCGGGGGAGCAC